UGGAGGUGAAUAAUCUUGCUUGCAUUAAUGCAUGUAGCUUGCUUAUUUUUUUUUCCUCUGUAUAUGCAUGGAUUUGUCUAUAUAUGCAUGCUACUGUACUCAUUUGCUUUUGGUGUGAUGUGCUUGACACAAAAGAAACUACGAUUGCACUAUUAGUAUUAUUUCCUCAUAGUUGCAAUUAUUAGUAUUAUAUAGUCAUACACAGAAAUUUGGACAACAGCAUGCAGUAGUUGAUUCAUGCUCAUAGCUUGACCAUUGUCUGUACCGUUUAGCUCCUUUUUUUUUGUUUUGCCCAUAUGUAUGCAGUAUAUCAUUGAUUUUUUUUCUUGCGGGUUGCCAUCUUAACCGAUGACCAUACAUGUGUGUCUAGUAUGAGGAUGGCAACUACAACUCCAAAUUGCAAGUGGGUAGC
rnacentral:lncRNA from 1 species